rnacentral:rRNA from 1 species
AGAGUUUGAUCCUGGCUUAGGAUGAACGCUGGCGGCGUGCUUAACACAUGCAAGUCGAACGGAGUUAGAGAGCUUGCUCUUAAACUUAGUGGCGGACGGGUGAGUAACGCGUGGGUAACCUGCCUUUCACUGGGGGAUAACAGUUAGAAAUGACUGCUAAUACCGCACUAAGCGCACAGGUUCGCAUGAACUAGUGUGAAAAACUCCGGUGGUGAAAGAUGGACCCGCGUCUGAUUAGCUAGUUGGUGAGGUAACGGCCCACCAAGGCGACGAUCAGUAGCCGGCCUGAGAGGGCGAACGGCCACAUUGGGACUGAGACACGGCCCAAACUCCUACGGGAGGCAGCAGUGGGGAAUAUUGCACAAUGGGGGAAACCCUGAUGCAGCGACGCCGCGUGAGUGAAGAAGUAUUUCGGUAUGUAAAGCUCUAUCAGCAGGGAAGAAAAUGACGGUACCUGACUAAGAAGCCCCGGCUAACUACGUGCCAGCCGCCGC